rnacentral:rRNA from 1 species
GUGGGGAAUCUUAGACAAUGGGGGAAACCCUGAUCUAGCCAUGCCGCGUGAGCGAUGAAGGCCUUAGGGUUGUAAAGCUCUUUCAGCUGGGAAGAUAAUGACUGUACCAGCAGAAGAAGCCCCGGCUAACUCCGUGCCAGCAGCCGCGGUAAUACGGAGGGGGCUAGCGUUGUUCGGAAUUACUGGGCGUAAAGCGCACGUAGGCGGAUCAGAAAGUCCGAGGUGAAAUCCCAGGGCUUAACCUUGGAACUGCCUUUGAAACUCCUGAUCUUGAGGUCGAGAAAGGUGAGUGGAAUUCCGAGUGUAGAGGUGAAAUUCGUAGAUAUUCGGAGGAACACCAGUGGCGAAGGCGGCUCACUGGCUCGAUACUGACGCUGAGGUGCGAAAGCGUGGGGAGCAAACAGGAUUAGAUACCCGGGUAGUCC